GAUGAACGCUGGCGGCGUGCCUAAUACAUGCAAGUCGAGCGAACAGACGAGGAGCUUGCUCCUUCGACGUUAGCGGCGGACGGGUGAGUAACACGUAGGUAACCUACCUAUAAGACUGGGAUAACUUCGGGAAACCGGAGCUAAUACCGGAUAAUAUUUCGAACCGCAUGGUUCGAUAGUGAAAGAUGGCUUUGCUAUCACUUAUAGAUGGACCUGCGCCGUAUUAGCUAGUUGGUAAGGUAACGGCUUACCAAGGCAACGAUACGUAGCCGACCUGAGAGGGUGAUCGGCCACACUGGAACUGAGACACGGUCCAGACUCCUACGGGAGGCAGCAGUAGGGAAUCUUCCGCAAUGGGCGAAAGCCUGACGGAGCAACGCCGCGUGAGUGAUGAAGGUCUUCGGAUCGUAAAACUCUGUUAUUAGGGAAGAACAAACGUGUAAGUACCUGUGCACGUCUUGACGGUACCUAAUCAGAAAGCCACGGCUAACUACGUG
rnacentral:rRNA from 1 species